rnacentral:lncRNA from 1 species
AAUCAUUGUGAAAUGUGUAGAGAGAUUUAGUGAUUAGAACUGUCUAACUUUCAUUAAUGAGAUUGAGAUACAAUAUAUAGUAAGUAGAAGACACUAGGGUUUCAGUAUACAAGCAUGUGAGGUCAAAGCAUAAGAGGAGCGCACAUUUGAAAGUGUCCAAUGGGAGCAUCCGCGUGUGUGAGGCAUCUUUUGCUUUAUGCCUUAACCUUCCAGUCCAUGACAGUCUGUCACACGCUCCUUCUCCCUUCCUUAUCCACUCUCAACGGUCUGAUCACUUUGCCUAAGUGAUCAAGGCUUCUUCCCAUCAUACAAAGUUACUCGGGUAACUUUGUUUCACCAUGACUGAGUUAACUCCUCCCUUUGUACGGCCAAGUACGGAUUCUGUACGGCCUUGUACGGAUGGCUCGUCCAUGCUAUGCCUUAACUCCCCAAGCUCAACUAGU